CAGGAUGAACGCUAGCGGCAGGCUUAACACAUGCAAGUCGAGGGGCAGCGGGGAGGAAGCUUGCUUUCUCCGCCGGCGACCGGCGCACGGGUGAGUAACACGUAUGCAACCUGCCCCUGUCAGGGGGACAACCCGCCGAAAGGCGGGCUAAACCCGCGUACAUGCCACCGGGGCAUCCCGGAGGCAGGAAAGGCUUCGGCCGGACAGGGAUGGGCAUGCGGCGCAUUAGGCAGUAGGCGGGGUAACGGCCCACCUAACCGACGAUGCGUAGGGGUUCUGAGAGGAAGGUCCCCCACACUGGUACUGAGACACGGACCAGACUCCUACGGGAGGCAGCAGUGAGGAAUAUUGGUCAAUGGUCGGGAGACUGAACCAGCCAAGCCGCGUGAGGGAGGAAGGUACAGAGUAUCGUAAACCUCUUUUGUCAGGGAACAAAGGCGGGGACGUGUCCCCGGAUGAGUGUACCUGAAGAAAAAGCAUCGGCUAACUCCGUGCCAGCAGCCGCGGUAAUACGGAGGAUGCGAGCGUUAUCCGGAUUUAUUGGGUUUAAAGGGUGCGCAGGCGGUCUGUUAAGUCAGCGGUCAAAGCCCGGGGCUCAACCCCGGCCCGCCGUUGAAACUGGCAGUCUCGAGUUGGAGAGAAGUAUGCGGAAUGCGCGGUGUAGCGGUGAAAUGCAUAGAUAUCGCGCAGAACUCCGAUUGCGAAGGCAGCAUGCCGGCUCCACACUGACGCUGAGGCACGAAAGCGUGGGUAUCGAACAGGAUUAGAUACCCUGGUAGUCCACGCAGUAAACGAUGAAUGCUGGCUGUCCGGGGGGACUGACCCCUGGGUGGCGAAGCGAAAGCGUUAAGCAUUCCACCUGGGGAGUACGCCGGCAACGGUGAAACUCAAAGGAAUUGACGGGGGCCCGCACAAGCGGAGGAACAUGUGGUUUAAUUCGAUGAUACGCGAGGAACCUUACCCGGGCUCAAACGGGGAGUGGCGCAGGCAGAGACGCCUGUUUCCCACGGGACACUCCCCGAGGUGCUGCAUGGUUGUCGUCAGCUCGUGCCGUGAGGUGUCGGCUUAAGUGCCAUAACGAGCGCAACCCCCGCGUGCAGUUGCUAACAGUCAACGCUGAGGACUCUGCACGGACUGCCGGCGCAAGCCGCGAGGAAGGCGGGGAUGACGUCAAAUCAGCACGGGCCUUACGUCCGGGGCGACACACGUGUUACAAUGGGUGGUACAGCGGGAAGCCAGGCGGCGACGCCGAGCGGAACCCGAAAUCCACUCUCAGUUCGGAUCGGAGUCUGCAACCCGACUCCGUGAAGCUGGAUUCGCUAGUAAUCGCGCAUCAGCCAUGGCGCGGUGAAUACGUUCCCGGGCCUUGCACUCACCGCCCGUCA
rnacentral:rRNA from 1 species